UUGGAGGGCAAGUCUGGUGCCAGCAGCCGCGGUAAUUCCAGCUCCAAUAGCGUAUAUUAAAGUUGUUGCAGUUAAAAAGCUCGUAGUUGAAUUUCGGGGUUAGUAGGUUGGUCGUACCACUGGUAUGUACCGGCUUUACUGAUUCCUCCUUCUUGAAGAACUGUAAUGCCAUUUAUUUGGUGCUGCAGGGAAUCAGGACUUGUUACUUUGAAAAAAUUAGAGUGUUUAAAGCAGGCUAACGCUUGAAUACAUUAGCAUGGAAUAAUAAAAUAGGACGUAGCGAUCCUAUUUUGUUGGUUUCUAGGAUUGACGUAAUGAUUAAUAGGGAUAGUUGGGGGCAUUAGUAUUCAAUUGUCAGAGGUGAAAUUCUUGGAUUUAUUGAAGACUAACUACUGCGAAAGCAUUUGCCAAGGAUGUUUUCAUUAAUCAAGAACGAAAGUUAGGGGAUCGAAGACGAUCAGAUACCGUCGUAGUCUUAACCAUAAAUUAUGCCGACUAGGGAUCGGAUGAUGUUAAUUUUUUAAUGACUCAUUCGGCGCCUUACGGGAAAC
rnacentral:rRNA from 1 species